UACGUAGGGUGCAAGCGUUGUCCGGAAUUAUUGGGCGUAAAGAGCUCGUAGGCGGCCUGUCGCGUCAAUUGUGAAAGCCCGGGGCUCAACCCCGGGUCUGCAGUCGAUACGGGCAGGCUAGAGUUCGGUAGGGGAGAUCGGAAUUCCUGGUGUAGCGGUGAAAUGCGCAGAUAUCAGGAGGAACACCGGUGGCGAAGGCGGAUCUCUGGGCCGACACUGACGCUGAGGAGCGAAAGCGUGGGGAGCGAACAGG
rnacentral:rRNA from 1 species